GCUGCGCCACCCGGGCUGCCCCUCUUUGUGUUCUUACAGCUCUUUUACGUCACGCGAGUACAGGACUCUCACAUGACAUCCUUGUGCGUUCCCGUCUACACGGAGUGCCCUGAGAAAGAGGCUUCUGUUCCACGGCUCAGGGCGGAGCGCGUUGACGGUGGUGUUCCUGGGGAAGGGCUAGGCCUUGCAACCGCUUAGACCUCCCUUGGAAUCCAGACCAGUCCUCUGAUUUUGCUGAGUGACCUUGGGCAGGUUGUUUGCUUUUGCAAUCCUCAGCCUUGUCCAUAAACACAAUGAUGUGGAUGAAGCUACGGACUGGGAGGCAGAGAGAGAGAGAGAAAAGAGGGAGAGAAGCAGAGGGAGAAGCAGGCUCCAUGCAGGAAGCCGGACAGGAGACUCGAUCCCUGGACUCCAGGAUCAUACCCUGAGCCGAAGAAGGCUUUCACUCAGUUUCCUGUGCAGCCUGUUCUGAUGAACUCACCACAGAGUCACUUUCACUAUCACUGGAUCCAUCAUAUUAAAAUAGUACUUCAGGGCUGGGUGAGACCUUGAGGAAGAAGAGAAGAGAAAGAAGAAUGAGCAGAAAGGAGAGGGGAGGGAGAGGCAAAAACCCUGAUGCUUGAUGGGAAAAAUUUAACUGGACUGCCCUGGAAGUAGACUCCGCUUACUUUUGGAUCAAACCCCGUGUUCUAUCUAGUGUAUUGACAGCUGGAGUAGAUUAUUAUUUUUUUAGACAUUUUUUCCUCUUUAUGACAAAGUUGUUUUUAGGAAUACUCAUGAAAUGAAGUAAAUAAUAAUGGCCAGGAAAAAUGUAAACAGUGAACGUUUUCUUUUAUUCAAUGUCAUAAUAUGUCAUGUCAGUAAAAGUAAAUAAAGUAAA